CUAGAGCAGGCCUCUUCUUCCAGACCUGAAACUGGUUCUUUGCCCAUCCUAGACAUCAGGCCGCAUCAUCCCACCGGAGCUGAGCUGCACCUUCUCACCUCGACCUCACCACCCCAAGUCCCAGUUUACCCGCUGAGACAUAGUCACUAUUUGCCAACAGCGCGCACCCAAAGGGUGGUGGAAGAGUUAAGCCCACUAGGAAUCCAGUCACUGCCCAGCUGGGCCAGGGCUUUCUUUCAGGAUCUUCUUGGCACUUGGAAUUGGAAUGGCUCAGUAGUGGUUCAGCUAGUGUGAGUAUCCAGCAUCUGGUGUGAGAUGACAGGAUUUAAAUGUUGUCCACCAAGAAAGCCUUGUUGGAAUUCUCCCUCUGUACCUCAUAAUGGCCUUAUUUGGAAAAACACGGAGGUGACACUUGAAGAUGAUGUCACUAGUUAGGAGAGUCCUAAUCUGAUAUUACUGCUGUCCCUGUGAACAGAAAACUAGAAGCCAGAUACACCUGUGUACCAGAUGCUGUGCAGGAGGUGAGAACUACCAGCCUCCUGGACUAUAAACAAAUUUUCAUUCUUUCAAGCCACCCACUUUGUGGUACUUGAUUGGCGCCCCAUGGUAUCUGACUUGAUUGACAUAAAAUCCUUAGGGAAUGUUAUCGUCCUAAAGCUUCAGAGAGACGUGUUGUUAACUUCAGGGUCCCAUCCCAGGUGCACAUAUGCUAAGAACCAUGCUGUGGUUUUGUUUGUUGAGACCUUCAUCUUCCCAGUGUGCAGCUCUCCUGCCUGGAUUUGGUCCUUACUAGUACCCUGGUUCAGUGACCUGGAGGAGCCAACAUUUUACCUACCACCUUUAGAAGCGUUGCUCAAAGGUUUGUUGUAUGAGGAGCCCCAGUGACUCACAGAGGCCACCAUUCACCCUUUGAAGCCGCCCCUCCUCACCUCCACUGUCACCUCCUCCAGACAUGCUAAGAAUAACUGCUGAUAGAAGAUAAACGAGACUCCUAGAUACAUGGGAUGAUCAAAUCAAGUCUCAGAGUCCUUCUGUGUCGUCUACGCUCAACAACUUGCUUGGAUUUGUAAUUACCUCAGAGACACACCUCUGGGCAUUGGAGCUCCCCUCCCCCAAUAUGGGUGGUGUCAUCUCUAAGAACUGAGAUCCCAAACUGAAUGAGAAGGGAACAAAGGAGAAGAUAAAGAGAGCACCAGCACAACUCUCUCUGCAUCCUGAGCAGCUAAUUCUGCUGUCAUGCUGUCCCUUCAAUGAUGCUCAGCCUUUCUCUGAACGAGAGCGCCCCUCUCCAGCCCUUGAUUUCUUUCAGAUAGGAAUCCAGCACACCCAUCAUCAGAGAGGCUUCAUCACCUGAUGGAAACAAGAUACAGAGAGCCACAAUCAAACAUCAGGCAGAGCUCAAGGAUUCCUGCAGAAGAAGAGGAGGGGUUAUAAGAACUAGAUGGGGUCAAGGACACCAAAGAGAACCCACAGAACCAACUAACCUAGGCCCACAGAGGCUCACAGACACUGAAAUGACAACCAGGGAGCUUGCAUGAGUCUGACCAAGGCCGUCCACACAUAUGUUAUGGUUGUGUACCUUGGCCUUCUUGUGGGACUCAGUGGGAAUGGGGUGGGGGGCUGCCUCUGAGUAGUUUGCCUGAUUUUGUGACUCUUUUCCUCCUACCCUUUGCUUCUUCCAGUCUUAAUGUGAGAGGAGGUGCCUAGUCUUACUCUAACUUGAUAGGCCAUGUUUGGUUUCUGCCCAUUAAAGACCUACCCUUUUCUGAAGAGAAAUGGCGGAGUGACUGGGGAGAAGGAAUUGAGAGGAGAGGAGGAAGGGAAACUACAUUCACGACGUAAUCCCUGAGAGUGGAGUAAAGACUUAAUAUUAAGACGAAACUAUUCUCUACAACUGAUGUGCAAAGAUGAUCCAAUCUUAAGAAAGUAAUAGAUUGGUAUCCUUUUAGAAUCAAAAUCUAUAUGUCUUAAAUUAAAGUCCUACAAGAAAGCAUUGUUUGAAAUUUUUCAUAAAAAGAGCAACAGUAGAUACAAUUUCCUAAACACAUGAAACUCAAGAAAAAUGAAGACUGAAGUGUGG
rnacentral:lncRNA from 1 species